rnacentral:rRNA from 1 species
UACGUAGGGGGCAAGCGUUGUCCGGAUUUAUUGGGCGUAAAGAGCGUGUAGGCGGCCAUGCAGGUCCGUUGUGAAAACUCGAGGCUCAACCUCGAGACGCCGAUGGAAACCGUGUGGCUAGAGUCCGGAAGAGGAGCGUGGAAUUCCUGGUGUAGCGGUGAAAUGCGCAGAUAUCAGGAAGAACACCGGUGGCGAAGGCGGUCUGCUGGGCAGUUGCUGACACUGAGGCGCGACAGCGUGGGGAGCAAACAGG